UCACAUCCUUAGGGGAGAUGCCGUGGUCACGGGGUGGUUUUCCCGGGGCGAGGUUUAUCCGUUGCACUCUGGAUGUGCUGGCCCCUGCGGUUGCCCCGAGGGUGGGAAACUUGACUGUGUAAUUGUAAUAGGGGGGAACUGUGUCUGCACGUUCCCCUG
rnacentral:snRNA from 1 species